GGGCUGUCCAUUGGUUUAAAUAACCCGUGAAGAAAGGGCCGGGCAAGACCGGUGCCAGCCGCCGCGGUAAUACCGGCGGCUCGAGUGGUGGCCACUAUUACUGGGCUUAAAGCGUUCGUAGCUGGUUUGUUAAGUCUCUGGGGAAAUCUUCCGGCUUAACCGGAAGGCGUCUCAGGGAUACUGGCAGACUAGGGACCGGGAGAGGUGAGGGGUACUCCAGGGGUAGGAGUGAAAUCCUGUAAUCCUUGGGGGACCACCUGUGGCGAAGGCGCCUCACCAGAACGGCUCCGACAGUGAGGGACGAAAGCUGGGGGAGCAAACCGGAUUAGAUACCCGGGUAGUCCCAGCUGUAAACGAUGCGCGUUAGGUGUAUCGGUGACCACGAGUCACCGAGGUGCCGAAGAGAAAUCGUGAAACGUGCCGCCUGGGAAGUACGGUCGCAAGGCUGAAACUUAAAGGAAUUGGCGGGGGAGCACCACAACAGGUGGAGCCUGCGGUUUAAUCGGACUCAACGCCGGGAAACUCACCAGUUAAGACAGCUGAAUGAUAGUCGGGCUGAA
rnacentral:rRNA from 1 species